rnacentral:rRNA from 1 species
GAUGAACGCUGGCGGCGUGCCUAAUACAUGCAAGUCGAGCGAACGGACGAGAAGCUUGCUGCUCUGAUGUUAGCGGCGGACGGGCGAGUAACACGUGGAUAACCUACCUAUAAGACUGUGAUAACUUCGGGAAACCGGAGCUAAUACCGGAUAAUAUUUUGAACCGCAUGGUUCAAAAGUGAAAGACGGUCUUGCUGUCACUUAUAGAUGGAUCCGCGCUGCAUUAGCUAGUUGGUAAGGUAACGGCUUACCAAGGCAACGAUGCAUAGCCGACCUGAGAGGGUGAUCGGCCACACUGGAACUGAGACACGGUCCAGACUCCUACGGGAGGCAGCAGUGGGGAAUCUUCCGCAAUGGGCGAAAGCCUGACGGAGCAACGCCGCGUGGGUGAUGAAGGUCUUCGGAUCGUAAAACUCUGUUAUUAGGGAAGAACAUAUGUGUAAGUAACUGUGCACAUCUUGACGGUACCUAAUCAGAAAGCCACGGCUAACUACGUG